GAUUAGGAGACGUUGAAUACAAAACACCACCAUCGGCGCGGUCGUCCUUGGCGUCUCGGUCCCUCACGGGGCCCGGGCACGGCUUAGCCUUAUCCCGCCGGCAACUGACACCCACUCC
rnacentral:rRNA from 1 species